rnacentral:rRNA from 1 species
GACGAACGCUGGCGGCGUGCUUAACACAUGCAAGUCGAACGGAAAGGCCCUGCUUUUGUGGGGUGCUCGAGUGGCGAACGGGUGAGUAACACGUGAGUAACCUGCCCUUGACUUUGGGAUAACUUCAGGAAACUGGGGCUAAUACCGGAUAGGAGCUCCUGCUGCAUGGUGGGGGUUGGAAAGUUUCGGCGGUUGGGGAUGGACUCGCGGCUUAUCAGCUUGUUGGUGGGGUAGUGGCUUACCAAGGCUUUGACGGGUAGCCGGCCUGAGAGGGUGACCGGCCACAUUGGGACUGAGAUACGGCCCAGACUCCUACGGGAGGCAGCAGUGGGGAAUAUUGCACAAUGGGCGGAAGCCUGAUGCAGCAACGCCGCGUGCGGGAUGACGGCCUUCGGGUUGUAAACCGCUUUCGCCUGUGACGAAGCGUGAGUGACGGUAAUGGGUAAAGAAGCACCGGCUAACUACGUGCCAGCAGCCGCGGUGAUACGUAGGGUGCGAGCGUUGUCCGGAUUUAUUGGGCGUAAAGGGCUCGUAGGUGGUUGAUCGCGUCGGAAGUGUAAUCUUGGGGCUUAACCCUGAGCGUGCUUUCGAUACGGGUUGACUUGAGGAAGGUAGGGGAGAAUGGAAUUCCUGGUGGAGCGGUGGAAUGCGCAGAUAUCAGGAGGAACACCAGUGGCGAAGGCGGUUCUCUGGGCCUUUCCUGACGCUGAGGAGCGAAAGCGUGGGGAGCGAACAGGCUUAGAUACCCUGGUAGUCCACGCUGUAAACGGUGGGUACUAGGUGUGGGGUCCAUUCCACGGGUUCCGUGCCGUAGCUAACGCUUUAAGUACCCCGCCUGGGGAGUACGGCCGCAAGGCUAAAACUCAAAGGAAUUGGCGGGGCCCCGCACAAGCGGCGGAGCAUGCGGAUUAAUUCGAUGCAACGCGUAGAACCUUACCUGGGUUUGACAUGGAUCGGGAGCGCUCAGAGAUGGGUGUGCCUCUUUUGGGGUCGGUUCACAGGUGGUGCAUGGCUGUCGUCAGCUCGUGUCGUGAGAUGUUGGGUUAAGUCCCGCAACGAGCGCAACCCUUGUUCACUGUUGCCAGCACGUUAUGGUGGGGACUCAGUGGAGACCGCCGGGGUCAACUCGGAGGAAGGUGGGGAUGACGUCAAGUCAUCAUGCCCCUUACGUCCAGGGCUUCACGCAUGCUACAAUGGCUGGUACAGAGAGUGGCGAGCCUGUGAGGGUGAGCGAAUCUCGGAAAGCCGGUCUCAGUUCGGAUUGGGGUCUGCAACUCGACCUCAUGAAGUCGGAGUCGCUAGUAAUCGCAGAUCAGCAACGCUGCGGUGAAUACGUUCCCGGG